rnacentral:rRNA from 1 species
GACGAACGCUGGCGGCGUGCCUAAUACAUGCAAGUAGAACGCUGAAGCGAGGAGCUUGCUCUUCUUGGAUGAGUUGCGAACGGGUGAGUAACGCGUAGGUAACCUGCCUUGUAGCGGGGGAUAACUAUUGGAAACGAUAGCUAAUACCGCAUAACAAUGGAUGACACAUGUCAUUUAUUUGAAAGGGGCAAUUGCUCCACUACAAGAUGGACCUGCGUUGUAUUAGCUAGUAGGUGAGGUAAUGGCUCACCUAGGCGACGAUACAUAGCCGACCUGAGAGGGUGAUCGGCCACACUGGGACUGAGACACGGCCCAGACUCCUACGGGAGGCAGCAGUAGGGAAUCUUCGGCAAUGGGGGCAACCCUGACCGAGCAACGCCGCGUGAGUGAAGAAGGUUUUCGGAUCGUAAAGCUCUGUUGUAAGUCAAGAACGGGUGUGAGAGUGGAAAGUUCACACUGUGACGGUAGCCUACCAGAAAGGGACGGCUAACUACGUG